UGGUCAAGCAUGAGGAGGAACUGCCUG
rnacentral:piRNA from 1 species